rnacentral:misc_RNA from 1 species
AUUAUGUUAACUGUUCGUAUUUCGUUCAUUCCAUCGGUAUGCUCCCAGGUACCUGUAAUUGUGAUCCGUUUGCCAGAACCGAGGGGUCUUUCUGUGGAAACCUUCACGAACAAUCGUCGUUUUUUGAUGGUUUUUCCGCUUCUCACAGCUGCUCUUUUCACACCUCCGGAUAUCUGGUGCCAAAUCGUCGCCCGUUUCCUUAUUUCUUUGAUAAUAGAGUUGGCUAUCUUUGUGGCAUUGAUUGUACAAGUUCGUGAAGAGGGCUGGACGAGUGGAAUGAGGGAGAGCGGCUCGAUCGACAAAAAAGAAGAGUAGCCCCCCUAGAACCUGGCAAAGUAACUAUCAAUGAAUUCCCGAGCAAUUCUCAACCAACAUAUGCGAUUCAUCCCCGUAAAGAUUAUAACACACAGAAGACUCCUUACCUUAGGAGCGGGAUGAGUGAUACAUCCGGUGAGCGCCGGUGAAGAACGCAAGCAAAGCUGAGCUUUUCGGAGCGAACCAAUCUUCCGUACCGACCCCUUUACUCUCUCUCUAUAAAAAAAGCUUGCGGGAAGCGCGAAGAGCUAAGCCACUAAUGUCGUGGCGAAGGUUAUACCUCAGAAAGUCAGCGAAGAA